rfam:Microvirga aerilata strain BSC39 scf7180000028494, whole genome shotgun sequence.
AUUGCAUGCCCUUCUUGGGCGUUUCCUCCCUAAACUUCGGGCCGCUGGCAACAGUGGCCUUUUUCUUUUUCCCGG